GCGUUGUCCGGAAUCAUUGGGCGUAAAGAGCGUGUAGGCGGCCCGAUAAGUCCGCCGUGAAAGCCCAGGGCUCAACCCUGGGAUGCCGGUGGAUACUGUCGGGCUAGAAUCCGGAAGAGGCGAGUGGAAUUCCUGGUGUAGCGGUGAAAUGCGCAGAUAUCAGGAGGAACACCGAUGGCGAAGGCAGCUCGCUGGGACGGUAUUGACGCUGAGACGCGAAAGCGUG
rnacentral:rRNA from 1 species